AGUUCGAUCAUGGCUCAGAUUGAACGCUGGCGGGAUGCUUUACACAUGCAAGUCGAACGGCAGCACGGACUUCGGUCUGGUGGCGAGUGGCGAACGGGUGAGUAAUGUAUCCGGAACAUUGCUGCUAAUAAUAGCGGGGGAUAACUACGCAGCGUAGCUAAUACCGCAUACGCCCUUCGAGGAAAGCGGGACCUUCAGACCUGCACUAUUAGAGCGGCCGAUAUCAGUUAGCUAGUUGGUGGGGUAACGGCUCACCAAGGCGACGAUCCGUAGCUGGUUUGAGAGGACGACCAACCACACUGGGACUGAGACACGGCCCAGACUCCUGCAGGAGGCAGUGGGAAUUUUGGACAAUGGGGAAACCCUGAUCCAGCCAUCCCGCGUGUGCGGUAGACCUUCGGGUUGUAAAGCACUUUUGGCAGGAAAGAAACGGCACGGGAUAAUACCCCGUGCAACUGUGAUACCUGCAGAAUAAGCACCGGCUAACUACGUGCCAGCAGCCGCGGUAAUACGUAGGGUGCAAGCGUUAAUCGGAAUUACUGGAAUAAGCGUGCGCAGGCGGUUCGGAAAGAAAGGUCUUGAAAUCCAGAGCUUAACUGGAACUGCAUUUUUUAACUACCGAGCUAGAGUGUCCAGAGGGAGGUGGAAUUCCGCGAUGUAGCAGUGAAAUGCGUAGAUAUGCGGAGGAACACCGAUGGCGAAGGCAGCCUCCUGGGAUAACACUGACGCUCAUGCACGAAAGCGUGGGAGCAAGCAGGAUUAGAUACCUGGUAGUCCCACGCCCUAAACGAUGUCAACUAGCUGUUGGGGCCUUCGGGCCUUGGUAGCGCAGCUAACGCGUGAAGUUGACCGCCUGGGAAGUACGGUCGCAAGACCCAAAACUCAAAGGAAUUGACGGGGACCCGCACAAGCGGUGGAUGAUGACGGAUUAAUUCGAUGCAACGCGAAAAACCUUACCUACCUUGACAUGUCUGGAAUCCCGAAGAGAUUUGGGAGUGCUCGCAAAGAGAGCCGGAACACAGGUGCUGCAUGGCUGUCGUCAGCUCGUGUCGUGAGAUGUUGGGUUAAGUCCCGCAACGAGCGCGACCCUUGUCGUGGAUUGCUACGAAAGGGCACUCUAAUGAGACUGCCGGUGACAAGCCGGAGGAAGGUGGGGAUGACGUCAAGUCCUCAGCGGCAUAUGGGUAGGGCUUCACACGUCAUACAAUGGUCGGGACAGAGGGUCGCCAACCGCGGGAACCAAUCCAGAGGAAACCCGAUCGUAGUCCGGAUCACGCAGUCUGCAACUCGACUGCGUGAAGUCGGAAUCGCUAGUAAUCGCGGAUCAGCAUGUCGCGGUGAAUACGUUCCCGGGUCUUGUACACACCGCCCGUCACACCAUGGGGUAGGUUUUCCAGAAGUAGUUAGCCUAACCGUAAGGAGGCGAUUACACGAUAAGAUUCAUGACUUUGGGGUGAAGUCGCUUUAAAGGUAGCUCUG
rnacentral:rRNA from 1 species